UAAUUGAAGAGUUUGAUCAUGGCUCAGAUUGAACGCUGGCGGCAGGCCUAACACAUGCAAGUCGAGCGGAAACG
rnacentral:rRNA from 2 species